rnacentral:sRNA from 1 species
AGAGAAUCAAUAAUAACAAAAAAAAUACAUUAAAAAUAUUUACAUAUAUAGUAUAAGAACACUAAUUCAAACCUAAAUCUCUAACAUUUUUUUAGCAAUCAAAAUCAUGGUUGAAUCUAAGUUUCGCAUUCCCGUCUAGAUCGCUCUUGAUCCAAAUAAAAAUGCUUUUAUCUAUAUGAUAGUAGGAUUUUACUCAAUUAAUCCUAAAACACUAUCUUGUCGUUGUAGUAUUUUAGGAUGUCAAUCCAAUGUGAUGCAAACAGAUGAGAUAUGAUCAGAAAGCUCUAAGUCAAGCCAAGUAGAAAGUUGGUUGGUUCUAACAGUCCUAGUAUGCAAUAACAGAAAUGAAAUGAAACUAAAAGCAGAAAUGGCAAUAGCAGGCAAGUGAAUGACAAAGCAGAAAUGAUAACAGGCAAUCAAAUGGAUAAAUGAUUCCUAAGGAUAGGGUAAUCGAACAGUGUGGUCUUCUUAAUCUAUUCAGGCGGUUGACAAAACUUCACAGAAGCUAUCCCUAGACAACAAGUUCAACAACAAAUUAAUUCACGCUCGUGAUAGAAAUCGUCAAGCAAAGCUAGACACUGACCUAAAUCCCUUUAGCGAUCUCUAACUAAGCAGGCAUUAUCGAAUCAACAUGUUAAAGUCAAUACCCUCUCUACAGCCAAUCCCUUGGAGUAGAAUCAGAUAUCUCUGGAAUUAAUAGGAUCCAACGCCCAUUAAACGCCUUCUGAGCGCUAGACGUCUAGACUCAUAUUCCACAUUAGCCAGUGAAACAAGCAAUAAGCGCAACUAAUACAGAAGGGAUUCUAGUAUUCUAAACUCAACCACCUAAAACGACCAAGUAAACCACAACUAAUCUAUCCCAUCCUCAGAAAUACAGUUCACUACUCAGACAUAAUCAAAGACAAUAGCAAAGCAACGAUUGAAAACAUGAUAACAGAAAUGAUGAAAGACUUAAACGAAAACUGAAUAUCAAAUACUUGAAAGUGAAAAUACAAAGUCGCAGGAGAAACAUUGCGACUAUCAAAGUUGCGAAAAUGUAAAAGCGAGAUAAAUAACGGAUAAUAGCGGAUGCCCUAGGGAAAACCCUAAGAGGCAGUUUAUAUAGCGAGAAAUGAAACAAAAUAGGAAACUAAAUAUAUAGCGAAUCUUCACGUCAUGAUCCUGCGACCGAAUAUGUCAUUGGCAUCUGACGGGCUGAAAUGAGCUUCCUAGUGAUCGAGUAUGUCAUUGAUCAAACUGGGCUUCAGGGGCUCGGUCUUGCGAUCGAGUGAGAUGUAGUGAAGUCGAGAUUGAAUGGUCCAGCGACCCUGUGAUCGAGUGGAUGUCAUGAGGUGGUGAUCGAGUGGUUUCUUCGGCUUCUCUUCUCUUCUUUGUUCUCAGCUUGUCUGGUUGAGUGCAGAAUGAGCAGAUAGGCUUCCUGGUGAUCGAGUGGUGAUCGAGUGGUUCCGAUGGGGUGAUUCCUCCGGCUUCGCGAUUGAGUGAAACUGAGCUGCUUGCUUCUCCGGGGUUGCGAUAGAGUGAUUUGCCCUGCCAGGGCUCCGAGGCUGCGAUAGAGUACUUUUGCUGAAGGCGUCAUUGGGCAUUUUGACUUCAUGUUCUGUUUUUCCUCUGUUUGAACUCCAAAAGCAUCCAAAGUACCUGAAAACAACCAAAUAUGUCAUGCACAUGCAAUCCUAAUGCAAAAUCGUCCUAAGUAUGUAAAACACACUAAAACGACUCCUAAUGAGAUAAAAUGUGGAUGAAACAAUGACAAAGUGGUGAAGAAUAAAUGCCUAAAUCAUGCAAAUUAUAGACAUAUCGCUAUAUCAACAAAUUAAAAUCACUCCUACAACUAAUAAUAACUUGGCGUGUACAAGUUUGUGCAUUCCUGAAAAUGCAAGAGCUUCAAU